rnacentral:rRNA from 1 species
CCUACGGGAGGCAGCAGUGGGGGAUAUUGCACAAUGGGGGAAACCCUGAUGCAGCGACGCCGCGUGAGUGAAGGAGGAUUUCGGUAUGUAAAGCUCUAUCAGCAGGGAAGAAAAUGACGGUACCUGACUAAGAAGCCCCGGCUAACUACGUGCCAGCAGCCGCGGUAAUACGUAGGGGGCAAGCGUUAUCCGGAUUUACUGGGUGUAAAGGGAGCGUAGACGGCAGUGCAAGUCUGGAGUGAAAGGCCGGGGCUCAACCCCGGGACUGCUUUGGAAACUGUACAGCUAGAGUGCAGGAGAGGCAGGUGGAAUUCCUAGUGUAGCGGUGAAAUGCGUAGAUAUUAGGAGGAACACCAGUGGCGAAGGCGGCCUGCUGGACUGUAACUGACGUUGAGGCUCGAAAGCGUGGGGAGCAAACAGGAUUAGAUACCCCUGUAGUC